rnacentral:tRNA from 1 species
UCCCUGGUGGACUAGUCGUUAAGCCACGGUGCUCUCGCUGGUGCAGCCCGGGUUCAAUUCCCGGCCAGGGAA